GCCGCCCUGCCCGCGCCUGAACUUUGGCCCUGGGGCCGCUGACACCCGAGGGAGUCUGAGAGCGAUGACGUCUCCGCCGGUUUCAGCUGCACAACAGGAAAUGCUCCGGGCCUCCCCCUUCCUGCCCGGAGAAAGUGGGGCUCGCCGCUCCCGGGCCAGCCGAGACCCAGUUUCGGGCCGCGGCCCCGGCACCCGCAGAGCACCCAGGGGAGCAGAGGCUCGGGCCGGGCGUGGGAGGCGCGGGGACCCCGAAACCCGCCGGCUUGCUGAAUAAUGCUGACCUCAGAGGGCCGGGCGAUUUCUCUGCCUCGCACGAUGUUCAGCCUCUGCUCACAGAGCCCUGCUAGGAAACCUGCUUUAACCCCGCGUCUCGCUGCCACCUCCUUACUCUGUUGUGCAAACAUAGCUGUGUGUUUAGUGCACAAUACAACGCCCUGCACUCAAACCUCCAAGACGGAAUUCUUACCAGAAAAGCCUCGAAGUAGUCACGAUUUGAGUCGUUAUUUAGAUCAGGAGUGGAUUUAA
rnacentral:lncRNA from 1 species